GUGGUUGGAUGUGGGGGUUUGCUGGCCUCUUUAAAAAAAGGGUUCAGCUCUCCUGAAAUGCAUUAGCAGAACAACCUGUUCAUUGGUGUGAUAACUAUCUGCGCCAUUGAAUGUGAGGGGCAGUUCAGCUUUCUAACGGUCCUUGGACAAUUCAUUAUUAAUGUGACCUCAAAUCAGGUAGGACUACCCGCUGAACUUAA
rnacentral:misc_RNA from 1 species